UAAAAGAGAGAAGCCGGACUGAAAAGGAGAGUUCAUGGUUAGCCCCUCCCAUUCGCCUUCAAUUUUCAUUUUAUGCCAUGAAUAUUAAUUGCACCACUGGGGGAGGGGUCAGCAUGGGAGGUUGCAAAGCGAGCCGGCUGGGAUCUAGGAGACCUGAAAUCCAAAUUCACACACCCUGGAGCCCUGGGCAAAUUUGGGGGGCAGGAGAGGAUUUGCUUCUCUCAAUAAAACCUGGGAUUGGGGGGGGGCUGGAUGACAUCUCAAGUUUCCUGGUAUAUAUAUGAAUGAGUCUGAGUCGGGGUCUCUGCUGCCCUGUUCCUACCUAACUCAUCAUCAGAUUCUGGAAAAGGAUGGAGCUGUCCGUCUGGAGUCACCAAGGAGAAGUAGCUCCCUCCACCUGAAAACAAAAUGUACACCUAAGAAGCAGACAGUCCUAGAGGAAAAAAAGCAGGACCCAGGCGUCCAGAAUCCUAGCUCGACAGCUUGACUCUCCCCCGGGGGAGCUGGAAAAGUCACCCAGCAGUUAGUUCGAUAAGCAAUUAUUAAUACCUUCUAAGUGCCUGGCAACAGCAAAGCCCUAGGAAUAGGAAGAGUAGCAGAAGGCGGCUGUUACUCCCCCAGGAGCUCAUAAGCUAAAGGCCGAGGGGGAAGGCAACAUGGGAUCCAAAUAUGGACAAGCGAGCUAUCAGCGGGAUAAAUUGGAGCUGAUCCACCGAGCGAAGGCUCCGGCCUAACGAAACACAAAACAGGCAAAGGAACGGAGCGGCCAAGGGAGAGACGAGCCCGCCGCACCAUGCACACGGCCGGAAACGCGCAGUUACAUUCAAGGCACACUUCAGUGGACGGGCCCGGGAAAACAAUGGGCAGUCAGUCCUAGGAUGCUGAGACUUUCUCUGCUCUUUCCUCUGGACAAGAAGCCCGAGCCGGGGAAAUCCCAUCUUACGGAGACCGAAGCCGAAAUGUAGGAAGGAAUGCACUUUAUCUCUGCUUACUCGCCUAGGAUGGAACGGGAUUGGGGGGGGGGGGGUUUGGGGAACACAGAUCUAGAGCUGGAAAGAGAUUCUCCAGAUUGGGAAACUGAGUCCCAGAGAGUCUUUCAACUCAUCGGAAGUCACAAACAUGAUCAUGAGCCCUGAUCUGGGAGAGAGAGAGAGCCUGGGAGGGAGGAGGAAGACUGAGAUUUCUAGCUCUUGCCCCCUUCGUCCUGAGUCAAAGAGCCAGAAAGACAGAGAGAGACGCAGCGACAGAGAGAGAGACUUCGACAGCGCCAAAAACGGCUGGAUCGCUCGAAGCCUUGGAGCCCCCAGCCCAGAUGGAGAGAGAGGGGCUGGAGGGAAGAGAAGGAGACAGAGGCAGAAAGGUAAAAAGAGACGGGCAGAAAGGGGGACCAAGGAGACACGGAGCUGUCGAGACAGUCGGAAAUCCCCGGGCUUUCGUGAUGGGGAGAGAAAGGAACUCAGCUUCCAGUUAGCCAUGGAGAGUGGCUUCUCCUCCCAGCCCCUUGCCAGGUCCUCCGGGGGAGCAGCCCCCGGCCUCCCCCAGAGACCAACCCCCUCCUCCCCCAUCUUCAUUCCCAUUCUGUCCCAGGCGAACCAGCCAACUUAUUAGUCGUCUAGACACAGACCAAAUUAUAGCCCCCAGCAGGGAAGGAGAGCUGCAGACACAACGCUGGGGGUUAACCCCUUGGCCCCCAUUCUCCCACCCCCUCAUCCAGAUUCUCUGCUUCCCAAUCUAGCCACAGGUGAAGGGGGCGAAGGGUUCUUCGGCUCCUGGCCGUCGAGACUAGAGGAACGGCUCUUAACUUUGGGGGGCACUAGGGACCCUUUGGGCAGUCUGGGAACCCCUUCUGAGAAUCACGUUAUUAAAUGAAUAAAAUUUAAUUCCACAGGAUUAAAAAAUACAACGGAAGUAGAUGAAAUACAGUUGGGGGAAAAAAAGCUUCACAGAUUCCAGUGUCUCCAGUUUGUGACUUGGAAGGUUCUAGAAUUCAACAAGCGAAUGUAUUAGGGUUCUCUGUCGCUAAGGAUAUAAUCUCUUCAGGUUCUAGACUUCUGGGAUUUGAAUUCUAAGAUUCUAGGAUCUUAUUAUCCCAAGAUCCACAAAUUUGGCAACCUUAGUCUUAAGGAAAGAAGCCUUUCUCCGACAGUUGGACCUUCGUAGAAUUGGAAGAGUCUUCUCCCCGGCACCCCCCCCAAUAUCCAAAGCCAGAUUCGGCCAUAGGCAAAGGGGAUGGAAGAUGGAGUUGGGGGGACCUGAUUCCCAGGACUUGGGUGGCUCGGUCUGAGUCUGCAGCUGCUCAGGCUAAAGGGUCCGGGAUUGGAAUGGGGGAGUGGCAGGAAGGAGUUAAAGUUGGAAAGUUCAGAUCCUGGGGGGGGAAGGGAAGGGGAGGAAGAGACUCCCUCUCCUCCUAGGCCCGGAAUUCCUGAAGCCUUCCUGUCUUGGAGGUGGGGGGGGGGAGCAGGAGAGGAAGUGGGGAUGGGGGGGGGCUAGAGGAAAGGUGGUAACCACUCUGCCUCCUGCCUCCACGGGCUUUAUCUUCUCUUCCUGAGCAGCCUCUGCAGGGAAAUUAGCCCCCACCCAUGAGAGACCGGAGGGCCUUAAGUCAGAUCAAGAACAGACAAGGAUGGGAAAGGAAGGCGCUGUGGUUCUGGGGUCUUAAUUUUCUGCUCUCCACCAUGAGGGAAAUGGACUAAGUGAUCUUUAGGGAUGUCAUGGGUUGAAGACCCAGGAAGCCUUCCUCUGCCAACUUGCUCUGAUUUGAGGCAAGUCACAUGACCUCCGGCUUCCUUUUCAUCAUCUACAUAAUGGGAAUAAUUGACCCCUGCCCCCUGUCCCACAAUCCCAGAAUGGUUAUUACUUGUGAAGAAAAUGUUUUGCAAAACUUGAAAGAGGGAGGAAUGGGAAUCAUGUUUGGACCCUAAAUAGUCACACGGCUGUAGAAAGCAGCAGGGAGGGCUUCCUGGGAAACCAGGGCUGCACCGAGCCCGCCUUAGAAGGACUGGAAGCAAGGAGAAAGGGAGGAACUGAGGCGCAAGAGGCCCAGGGGCUGCUCAUGGGUAAAGGAUCUGGGAUUCUCCUGCGUCUCUACCGCAGGGCCCCUGGGAAUUCAGACUGGGACAGACAAGGAUCCGAGGGUCCUGGGGACUCCUGCUUGUCUGUAAUUCCAAACUUUAAAAGGAAAAGGGCUCCUGGAGCCCGAGGUGGAUCCCUGCCCCCUCUCUCUGCCUUAGUUUCCUGCACAGCCUUUUCAAUGGACUGAGACUUACAAAGCGCCCAAAUGGAUUACAGAGUGGGACCAGUCUGGCUCUUUAUCCUGGGGAAGGUUCACCUCCCUGGGUCUGACCCCUGGAAGCCCCUUAAGUCAAGGACUCUCUUUUCCUCUUGGUUCUCCAGCACUCAGCAGUGCCCGGCAUGUGUUUGUUCUUCGGUCAUUUCAGUUUCACUCUCUGUGACUCCGUUGAGAAUUUUCCUGGCUCCAGUGAUAUCUGCCGUUCCCUUCUCAUUUUACAGAUGAGGAAACUGAGGCAAUAGGAUUAAGUGACUUGCUCAGGAUCACUCUGCUAGUGUCUCAAGCCAGAUUUGAUGGAAGGUGUUCCUGCCUCCACUGCAUCCACUACAGCGCCACCUAGCUGUAGCAGACGCCUGCUCCAAGGGGACGAAUUGGAAUGGAAUGAUUUCUAACUCUGUCAUGUGAUUCUCCAUCCGCUCAUUUUACAGAUGAGGAAACCAAGUCCAGAGUUGAGAAGUAGCUUAGCUGAGGUCACACGGCCAACCCUGCAAGGCUCAGGCUGGGACCUCGGCUGACUGAUCCCCAGUCCAACCUCCAGAACGACCCCCGAGUUCUAGGCUGCCGAGAUAAAUAAAAGACCAAAACUUUAAAGAGGCAGGCAUGCUCACACCGCAGCGGCGCACACCGGCCCAAGAAACCCGGACACGCUCCGAUCUUCUCAGUGCAUGUGAGUUUAAUUCUGGAUGAUACAAAAGAAUGAACUUGAAAAAAAAAAAAAACCCUAAACUAAUGUGCUCCUUCUCCCUGUAUCCCUGCAGCGGUGAGACCUGUUCCCCCCACACCCCUUCCCUCAACCUGGAGAAAUAUAGAGACCUCGUCUGCUUGCCUGGCUGUCCCUGUUCACCCACUUAGAACUCUUUCAUAUAUAUAUAUAUAUAUAUUAUAUUAUAUUAUAUAUAUAAAUCUCUCUCUCUCUA